UUUUUUUUUUUUUAUAAAUAUAAAACCUUCAAAAUGUUUGCAUUUCACUCUUUUAAAAUUCAAUUGAAUUCAUUCAUUUUUAGACUUUUACAAACGAAAUUGAAAGAAAAAUGAUAUCCCUCAACUGAUUCAUAUAAUUGAGUAGUGACCUAGUUCCAUUGAUUGGCAAAACUUGUUGCAGAGAGCUAUUGGAUUUUCCAAUUUUCAUUCACAAACUCAUAAAUAUAGCUUUGUAAUGGCAAUUGGCAAAUGAGAUCGCAGCAUCCAGACAAUUAAAGAACAGGCUGAUGUCUGCUAAACUAAGAAAUCUGCAUCAGAGACUUCAAGUACUUUAUGGACACCUAUUGGGUUUACGCCUGGCUUGAAUGCAUUUCCUUCAAUGUACCUGCACACAGCAAUCAAUCCAUUAUCUGCACUCACAAUUUCAGCAUGGUUAAGUUCGGUAGACAAAGAAACUCACAUUUCUUUCAAGUAUGAAUGUUUGUAGAAGACGUCAGGAAUUCUCCCUGAAAAUUGAUUGUGAUCCAAGUAUAAGUGAGUCAAUCUCGGAAUAUGAGCAAGUGCAGCAGGUAUUAUUCCAGACAUCUUAUUAUAUGAUAGAUGCAAUAUUUCUAUAUUGCUCAAGUUUGCCAGUUGUGCAGGGACUCCUCCAGUGAGGUAAUUAUUAUUUAGGUAACUACACAUCAUAGUCAGAAAUGGAGUUACUUAAAUUAGUAGUUUGUUGAAAUAUUUGUAAAUUUGGCAGAUCAAAUAAUCUUACAGGUUGCGAAGUGCAGGAAAGCAACCCUCAAAACGUAUUAAUUCUCUUAUAGUACCCACCAAAUGAUUGUUGCCAACAUCCCUACACAAAUUGGUUUCACUAUGAGACAAAGUAAAACUAUACUGCUAAAUCUAUACAAACAUUCAAAGGAGAACAUAGAAUGUUACAAGUGCCGAAGAUGUUGCAAAGUCCCCAACUCUGCAGGAAUUCGCCCAGAAAAUCGAUUCUCAUGUAAGUAAAGAUACCGGAGCUCAGGAAGAUUAGCUAGCUCCUUUGGUAUUUCACCUUUGAAAUUAUUGAAGCUCAAGUAUAGGUGAGUUAGACUCUUGAGUUCACCAAUUUCAGGAGGAAUGACAUCUUGCAGUUUAUUCCACCUCAAAUUAAGUAUCUUCAGACGCUUCAAGCGCCCAAUUUGGGAAGGAAUAGGCCCUGUCAGUUUGUUGUUAUGCAGAUCUAGCCUAGUAAGAUCCAAGAGAUUGGUAACAGCAGUAGGAAAAGGCCCAACAAUUGACACAGCAUAAACUUCCAAUUCAGUUACAACUCUAUAAUCUCCUUGAGUUGAGCAAGUGACGCCGGACCAAGGAGGAAGAUCGCCAUCACCGCAAGGAUCAUCGCCGACCCAAGCGUAGACGACUCUCCACCCGAGUGAUGCCUUAAUCUCAUUCAAAGCCUUGACGUCGCGUUUGAGGGUUUUGGAGAAGCCAAGAUUCAGCAGCAGAGGGAAAAUUAGGAUCAAGAACACCCAAUUUGAUACAGGCGCCAUCUUAUCGAAGCUCUGAUCCAAGUGAAUGCAGUUAGUUGAUAGCUCUUCAUUUUCAGCUAAGGCGCAUGCCUGACCGUCUCGUGGUCGUAGAGGAGCAAAACGACGCGUUUUAGAUGGGCAGCAAUCGGGGUGUGCA
rnacentral:misc_RNA from 1 species